rnacentral:lncRNA from 1 species
CUGCAACUGCUCAGGCUGCACAGUUUGGGACAAUCAGCUCAACUUCACCAAAAUGAAAUUCGUGUCGCUCUUGCUCGCUGUGGCGAUGGCUGUGUCUGCCCUGCUGGGGGCAGCACGAGCCAUGCCCGAGCCAGAAGCCCUGGCCGACGCCGACCCUUGGGCCUACAGAGGAGGCUACUACAGAGGCUCCUACGGAGGCUAUGGAGGAGGACGCCACUACGGAAGAGGAGGAGGCUACGGCGGAGGCUUUUAUGGACGCGGCUGGUGAGGCUCCCGAAGGAAGACUCCGCCCACCGCGCCCUCCGACCGAAGCUCCCGCUCUCGUCUCGCCUGAAGGACAACGAACCCAUUUCCGACUUCGCUUCAAGACAAUAAACCAGAUUAGAUUUA